UACGAAGGGGGCUAGCGUUGUUCGGAAUUACUGGGCGUAAAGCGCGCGUAGGCGGUCUGUUAAGUGCACAAGUGAAAGCUCCGGGCUCAACUCGGAAAUUGCUUUGCAUACUGGCAGGCUGGAGGGACGCAGAGGUCUGUGGAAUUCCUGGUGUAACGGUGAAAUGUGUUGAUAUCAGGAGGAACACCCAUGGCGAAGGCAGCAGACUGGGCGUUUCCUGACGCUGAGGCGCGAAAGCGUGGGUAGCAAACAGG
rnacentral:rRNA from 1 species